rnacentral:tRNA from 1 species
GCCCGGGUGGCUCAGUCGGUUAAGCGUCCGACUUUGGCUCAGGUCAUGAUCUCGUGGUUUGUGGGUUCGAGCCCCGCGUCGGGCU